CACUGUCUCCAAGGUCCGGAGUCUGGAUUGCUCUGUGUUAACAUACUUAUUUCCAUGUAAGCUCUAUGAAAGUUUCUGUGAAGGCCUAAAAUACAGCCAGAAAGUAUCCUGGGAUCUAGGAAAAUGAGUGGUCAGUGGCGACUGCCAAGCUCCCAGAAAAAUGAAGAGCCAUAGUCCUGCUGAUGUGCCUUCUAUCUAGGCAUGGGACAAAUAUCCAGCGUUCUAGAGACUGCUCAUUCUUCACUGGAACACAAUGGAAAAGCAGAUGGAGGUCGAAAUUGAAUUGCUGCUGACUGUUGUCCCUUGUUAUGGCCUGUGGAGAUAUGACAAUUGAGGAAGAACUUAGAGGAAUGCCAAGUAGCAGAGCAUGAAGCAGUGGGUGUGACCCACUGCCUUGGACAUUUUAUGGCUGAUAGCAUUUGGCAAGAAAAAACUGCAGCCUCUAUAGUAGUCUUGCAAAUAGAUCUCAACAUUAACUAUGCCCUCACCCUCACCCGUAUUUGAUUUACCCUAUAAUGUACUCAUUUGCUAAAAUCCACUCUUCUAAUUGUCAGCUAACUCACUAGUCCUCUCACAAAAAUACCUAAAUAACUAAAUAAAUCAUAC